rnacentral:lncRNA from 1 species
UUUUUAUUUUUAUUUUUUUGACAUUUAUUUUUAUCAGUGGACUGAUUGUCUAAAAAGCUUCUUUCUUGGUCUCCUCUGUUGGUGUAACUAAUAUUAUCUAUUGGCUUCUUAAGAAAAUAUAUCAACAUAACCCAGGCAGUAGAUACAUUUUGAAAGUCCAAAGCACGCAAGUCCUUUCACAAAUAGAGAAAUACCCUUAUAUCAUUACUGUCUGCUUCAAGAAAGUAAAAAUUAAAAAUGGAUGAGUGUCUUUCUAAGUACAGAACAAUAAAAUCAGUACUGAAGGGAUCAAAAGAAUGAUAUGCAAGACUAAAAGAAAUGUAAAGAAUAUUUGGCCUUGUUACUUGAAUGCAGAUUGUUUGAAGUCAUUAUAAUGUGUAAACAAAGAAUUUGACACUAACGUGAGGUGUUUGCAAUAACAAAAAAAGAUUAUAAAAGGCACCUAAAAACCCUAGGUUGGCAACAUUUUCUAGUCUUCACUGGAGAAUGGAAAGGCCUCCAGCUCAAGAACGAAAAUACUAGUUAAAUAUGGCAAGUGUAUUCCUAAGAUAAAACUACUAUUUUAGCUUCUUGAACUUAGCUGUUAAGAUCAUUCAUCCAGUUAAAUUCCCUGAUUUUUCCCUAUGUUUGCAAACUAAGUUGUAAUUAAAAUGUAGCUCUUAGUUUGCAGGUUACUGUGUGUCACCUACAGAAAAGUAAGGUAAGGCUUCUUAUUUUAUAUUUGGCUAUAUACUUGCAAUUGCAAGGCAAUGAGUCUUGAAGUAGCUUCAAAUUCAGCAUAAUUUUUUUUUUAAUCAGGUUAAAUUUUUUUAUCAGGUUAAAAAUAACAGUCAAUAUUAUUGGUCUUAUCCAAGAUCAUGCUAUAGUCUGUCUCUGAGUCCAGGACGCUUGAGUAUGGCAAUAUUCCAAAGGCUCUCUGAAUCAAUACUAAUGAUAAUUGGAGUAAUAAAUACUACUGAGAAUAAAAAUAAGGCAGAAAAACUAAGUGAUGAACAUUCAAGUGAAAACUCUCCAUAGGAAUAUUUCUUGUAACCCAUGGUGACAAAGCAACACCAUUAAGCAGUGUGCUUCAUACCUUGACAAGGGUCAAUGUUGUGGCAAUAUUUUAGCAAAAUGGAUCAAACCAAUUCCAGGUUUUACUGAAGUUAACCCACACAGCACACGAUCCAUGAGGUAGUGCUCUACAAAUCUUUAUCCUUUCUACAAUUUUAUGUGAACGUUUUCAUAGGGAAUGUAGCCUUUAAUGUCCAUCUUUAUUCCUUUUAGUAUAAUAUUUUUGAGAUUCAUGUGUGUAGUUGCAUGUAUCAGAAGUCCAUUCUACUUUAUUGCUGAGCAGCAUGCAUUUUAUAGAUAUAGCAAAAUUUACCUAUUCACCAGUUGAUGGACAUUUGGCUCAUUUUCAGCUUCAGGCUAUUAUGUAUAAACUUUCUGGUAAAAGUGUUUGCGUGGAUAUAUUUUUAUUUCUUUGGCAUAAAUACUUAAAAGUGAAAUUGCUGAAUUCUAUGGUAGUUACAAGUUUAACUUUAUUUGAAACUGUUAAAUUUUCUUUUUUGUUGUUGUUGUUGUUGUAAAUUGUUUUCAAAGUGAAUGUCCAUUUGCAUUUCUACCAGAAAGGUAUAUAAUUUUCAGUUCCGUAUCUGCACCAAUACCCUGUAUUGCCAUUUUUUUUUUAAUUCUUAGCCACUUUGAUGAGUAUGUAAUGCUUCCCUCAUUAUAAACAAGAACAAAUUUCCAAGAGAGAAGAUCCUAGAAAGAGAAUUUAUUUAGACCAUUUUCCAUAUUGAUACUAUAACACUGAGCCUAUUAAUUACUCUUACAAAUGUUCUGGAGUAAAAUAAAACUACCUGUAGUCAUGAAGAUUCUACAAUUGAGUAAUGAAAGUGAAACUUUAAGUCUUGGACUUUAAAACAAAAAAUAUUAAAUUUAGUAAGUAUGAGUUAAGAUUCCCCAGGACCUUCUUUAUGUGUUUCUUUGUGUGUCUGUGCUUGAGUAUGCAUAUGUAGGAGAGAGAAUGUGAGAGAGAACGAUUACACAUAGCAUUGUUAUUCUAGAAAUACUAUCAAGAGAUACUAUAAAAGUCUGUCACAGCCAAAAAAGAAGAAAAUAAAUUAAGCCUGGAAUUAGUAUUGGUUAACAAAAAAGAAAAAAAAAAGGUUAAAUAUGAACAUCAGAACAGUACUGGGUAAUUCCCUAUGAAUAGUUCUGCUAUUUGAAAAAUAUAUUCCAAUAUAACCAACUGAUAGGAUCCAAGAGCUACAUAUUAAAAAUUGAAAAUGUGCCAAGUUAACUCUUACUUCAAGAGGAUUAAUAGUUUAGAGGUUGCUUUGAUGUUUUUAAAAUUCAAUAUGGUGACUUGCAAAUAGAAAGGGAAACACUUUGUGAAAUGCUGUACCAAAGGUUGUUGUUUUUUUUUUUUUGUGUGUGUGUGUGUGUGCACACCAAAGUUUUAGCAGUCAGCAUGUGUGAAAAGUCUUCAUUUUCAUGCUGUGGUCUCAUUUUUAAAUGCAUUAAAUUCACAUGGCUCAUAAUGAAAGAUACUUUCAAUCUCUUUUUUUCUUUGGUGGGAAGAAUUAGGUACAAAGGAUAAGAUACCCUAUGCUUUCUACUCAGCCAGCUAAGUUAAUGAGCUACAGGAAGACUCGAUUGGUGGUAGGUAUAAACUGCAGCCAGUUACUAUGAAAAUUCUUAUCAUAAAAUCUAUUGAACUUAAAAUUAUUUCUAAAUAAUUUCAAUCUUAUAUUAUCACUGCUCAUCAUCUCCUUUAUUUAGUAUGUUGCAAU